AAAUUGAAGAGUUUGAUCAUGGCUCAGAUUGAACGCUGGCGGCAGGCCUAACACAUGCAAGUCGAACGGUAGCACAGAGAGCUUGCUCUCGGGUGACGAGUGGCGGACGGGUGAGUAAUGUCUGGG
rnacentral:rRNA from 5 species